CAAUAGCGUAUAUUAAAGUUGUUGCAGUUAAAAAGCUCGUAGUUGGACUUCUGGCUUGGUGUGGCGGGUCUCCGCAAGGGGUACACUGCAGCGCCGAGCCUUCUUCCCGUAGUCGUGUGGUGCACUUAACUGGGUGCCAUGUGAAUAUGGGACCUUUACUUUGAAAAAUUAGAGUGUUCAAAGCAGGCCUUCGCUUGAAUACAUUAGCAUGGAAUAAUGGAAUAGGACUUUGGUGCUAUUUUGUUGGUUUAUGGGACCGAAGUAAUGAUUAACAGGGACAGUUGGGGCCGUUUAUAUUUCGUUGUCAGAGGUGAAAUUCUUGGAUUUACGAAAGAUAAACUUCUGCGAAAGCAUUCGGCAAGGAUGUUUUCAUUGAUCAAGAACGAAAGUUAGGGGAUCGAAGACGAUUAGAUACCAU
rnacentral:rRNA from 1 species